rnacentral:rRNA from 1 species
AUGGCUCGGGACGAACGCUGGCGGCGUGCCUAAUACAUGCAAGUCGAACGGUCUUUCUAUGGAAGCUUGCUUCCACUGAGAAGAUAGUGGCGAACGGGUGAGUAACACGUGGGUAACCUGCCCAUAAGAGGGGGAGAACAUCCGGAAACGGGUGCUAAUACCGCAUAGUUUUCUUGAUCGCAUGAUUGAGAAAGGAAAGACGGCCUUUGUGCUGUCGCUUAUGGAUGGACCCGCGGCGUAUUAGUUAGUUGGUGAGGUAACGGCUCACCAAGACGAUGAUACGUAGCCGACCUGAGAGGGUGAUCGGCCACAUUGGGACUGAGACACGGCCCAAACUCCUACGGGAGGCAGCAGUAGGGAAUCUUCCGCAAUGGACGAAAGUCUGACGGAGCAACGCCGCGUGAGUGAAAGAAGGUUUUCGGAUCGUAAAACUCUGUUGUCAGAGAAGAACAAGUUGGAGAGUAACUGCUCCAGCCUUGACGGUAUCUGACCAGAAAGCCACGGCUAACUACGUGCCAGCCGCGGC